rnacentral:lncRNA from 1 species
AAGAGAAGAAAAAGCCCCACAUAAAGAAGCCCCUUAAUGCAUUCAUGUUGUAUAUGAAGGAGAUGAGAGCGAAGGUGGUGGCUGAGUGCACAUUGAAAGAGAGUGCAGCCAUCAACCAGAUCCUCGGGCGCAGGUGGCACGCCCUGUCCAGGGAAGAACAGGCAAAGUACUACGAGCUAGCCCGGAAGGAACGACAGCUUCACAUGCAGCUGUACCCUGGCUGGUCUGCACGGGAUAACUAUGGAAAGAAGAAGAAGAGAAAAAGAGACAAGCAGCCGGGGGAGACCAAUGGAGAAAAAAAAAGUGCGUUCGCUACAUACAAGGUGAAGGCAGCUGCCUCAGCCCACCCUCUUCAGAUGGAAGCUUACUAGACUCACCUCCCCCCUCACCGCAUCUGCUAGGCUCCCCUCCCCAAGACGCCAAGUCACAGACUGAGCAGACACAGCCGCUCUCGCUGUCCCUGAAGCCUGAUCCUCUGGCCCACCUGUCCAUGAUGCCUCCACCACCCGCGCUCCUGCUGGCUGAAGCUGCCCACGGCAAGGCCUCUGCCCUCUGUCCCAACGGGGCCCUGGACCUGCCACCUGCCACUUUGCAGCCGUCCAUGGUCCCUUCCUCAUCGCUCGCACAACCAUCAACUUCUUCCUUACAUUCCCACAACUCGCUGGCUGGGACGCAACCCCAGCCUCUGUCUCUGGUGACCAAGUCUUUAGAAUAGCUUCGCCUCCUCGUCUUCCGUGCCCCUGCUUGAUUGAAGUGUUUCCUUCUGGUUCUUGGUUCGCCCUUCCCCCGCUUGGAAAGCCUUUUUUCUUGUUCUUUAAUUUUGUGCCACUGUGGCUACAUGAGUUAAUGUUUAUGGAGUUCAUUGGUCAAUAUUUGACCCAUUCUUAUUUCAAUUUCUCCUUUUAAAUAUGUAGAUGAGAGAAACCUCAUGAUUCUACCAAAAUUUUUAUCAACAGCUGUUUAAAGUCUUUGUAGCGUUUAAAAAAAUAUAUAAAUAUAUAUAUACAUAACUGUUAUGUAGUUCGGAUAGCUUAGUUUUAAAAGACUGAUUUAAGGAACAAAAAGAAAAAGAAAAGAGAGAGAAGCAACUUUGAAGCACCCUCCAGAAGGAGUUGGUUCUGUAUUAUUUGUAUUAAAUACGAGCUUGCGAACCAAUCAUUUCCAUCUUGGUAUUUAAACCGCGAGGGCACGAUGAAUGCAGUGCCGUUUCUUUCUUUCUUUUUUCCUCCCAUGUGAAACAACUUUUAUUGUGAUGUUACUUGUUAUUGUUUAAAUGUACAGAAACAAAGGGUUAAAAUGUGUUAAUAUACCUUUUUCCAUGGUGUUGUUCUUUUUGGGGGGAGGGGACGCUACUCAACAUGAAUGGAAUCAACACUGUUGGACCAGUAGUAUUUAUUACUUUAGAGGUUGCUUGUCCGUACCUGUCCGUCCGUCCAAUUUUAAAUAUUGUUUCCCUUUUUUUUUUGAAACUGUAUAAAGUCAACCCCCCCAACAUAAGCAUCUUAUAUACAACAACUCAUUUGUACAAGGUUUUUAAGUUUAUAUAUAAAUUGUGUAUAUAUUUUUUUGUUUCCUUUUCUUGACUUUUCGUUUGUUUGUUUGUUUCUGUAUAAAACCCAGAUGCCACCAAAUGGACAUUGAUAGCUGCAUUAAGGAUCAGUAGCAUUAACAAAAGUUGCUUUAAAAGCCAUUACGUAAAACAAGACUUGAACAUUAGCGAGAGGGUCGAGCAGAGCAGCCGUGGGAACCACCCCGUUUCCCCUUGGACCUCCUAGUCAAUUACCCUGUGCUCUUAGAACAUGGACUGACCGUGUGCAAAACUUUUUAUGUGCCAAAAUUCUCAGUGACUUUAGCUUUCUCCCUCCUUUUUGAUGCCGUACUUUCUGUUCGCCAUGUUUUGCUGUGAUGUUACAUAGAUAGAUUUGUAUGUAGUUUUAAUGUCACCUAUAACAAAAUGUGUUUGGUAGCAGACUGUCCAGAAAGCAUUUUAAAUGAAGAGGUCUAAACCCUUAAGGGCCAAAAAUUCUGUAUAUUAGAUUACUCUUAAAAUGAAAAAGAAAAAAAGUAAAAAAAAAAAAAACCCAGCUGCCGCUUCUGUGUACAAGUAUGACAUACGAGUAGGUAGCGAACUUUAAAAACAAGAGAACCUAGGCAUGCCGAUGUUGUAAAAUGCUGUAUAAAGCCGAGACCUGUCUUUUCAGUGCCAUCGUAGUUGACAUGAAGCGAUUGUAAAACUGUCUCCGGUUUUCUCUGGUUUAUUAAAAUGCUAACUAUAACAAUUUUUUUUUGUGAAUACUUUGAAUGUUUCCUAACAGUUGUGGUGUUACCGUUCUGUUUGAUGCUUAUUCCAAGUUCAUUUUUGGAUGGUUUGGAAGCCAUUUUGUAAUGAAUAAAUGUCCAUGCUGUACAGUAUCUGUAGCAUGCCGUUCUGGAUUAAUAAAAGCAACUUAGUAUGUGCAG